rnacentral:rRNA from 1 species
UACAGAGGUCUCAAGCGUUGUUCGGAUUCAUUGGGCGUAAAGGGUGCGUAGGCGGCGCGGUAAGUCGGGUGUGAAAUCCCGAGGCUCAACCUCGGAACUGCCUUCGAUACUGCGGGUCUCGAGUCCGGGAGAGGUGAGUGGAAUUCCUAGUGUAGGGGUGAAAUUCGUAGAUAUUAGGAAGAACACCAGUGGCGAAGGCGGCUCACUGGCCCGGUACUGACGCUGAGGAGCGAAAGCGUGGGGAGCAAACAGG